rnacentral:rRNA from 1 species
GGGCCAGUAGGUUGGUCGUGCCACCGGUACGUACUGGUCUCACUGAUUCCUCCUUCCUGAAGAACCGUAAUGUCAUUAAUUUGGUGUUGCGGGGAAACAGGACUGUUACUUUGAAAAAAUUAGAGUGUUUAAAGCAAGCUAACGCUUGAAUACAUUAGCAUGGAAUAAUGAAAUAGGACGAUCGAUCCUAUUUUGUUGGUUUCUAGGAUUGACGUA